UACGAAGGGGGCUAGCGUUGCUCGGAAUCUCUGGGCGUAAAGGGUGCGUAGGCGGGUCUUUAAGUCAGGGGUGAAAUCCUGGAGCUCAACUCCAGAACUGCCUUUGAUACUGAAGAUCUUGAGUUCGGGAGAGGUGAGUGGAACUGCGAGUGUAGAGGUGAAAUUCGUAGAUAUUCGCAGGAACACCAGUGGCGAAGGCGACUCGCUGGUCUUUUGCUGACGCUGAGACGCGAAAGCGUGGGGAGCAAACAGG
rnacentral:rRNA from 1 species